UGGGGGAUAUUGCGCAAUGGGGGCAACCCUGACGCAGCAACGCCGCGUGAAGGAUGAAGGUUUUCGGAUUGUAAACUUCUUUUAUUAAGGACGAAACUUGACGGUACUUAAUGAAUAAGCUCCGGCUAACUACGUGCCAGCAGCCGCGGUAAUACGUAGGGAGCAAGCGUUGUCCGGAUUUACUGGGUGUAAAGGGUGCGUAGGCGGCUUUGCAAGUCAGAUGUGAAAUCUAUGGGCUCAACCCAUAAACUGCAUUUGAAACUGUAGAGCUUGAGUAGUGCAGAGGUAGGUGGAAUUCCCGGUGUAGCGGUGGAAUGCGUAGAUAUCGGGAGGAACACCAGUGGCGAAGGCGACCUACUGGGCACCAACUGACGCUGAGGCUCGAAAGCAUGGGUAGCAAACAGGAUUAGAUACCCUGGUAGUCCAUGCCGUAAACGAUGAUUACUAGGUGUUGGAGGAUUGACCCCUUCAGUGCCGCAGUUAACACAAUAAGUAAUCCACCUGGGGAGUACGACCGCAAGGUUGAAACUCAAAGGAAUUGACGGGGGCCCGCACAAGCAGUGGAGUAUGUGGUUUAAUUCGAAGCAACGCGAAGAACCUUACCAGGUCUUGACAUCCGAUGCAUAGCUUAGAGAUAAGUGAAGUCCUUCGGGACAUCGAGACAGGUGGUGCAUGGUUGUCGUCAGCUCGUGUCGUGAGAUGUUGGGUUAAGUCCCGCAACGAGCGCAACCCUUAUUGCCAGUUACUACGAAAGAGGACUCUGGCGAGACUGCCGUUGACAAAACGGAGGAAGGUGGGGAUGACGUCAAAUCAUCAUGCCCUUUAUGACCUGGGCUACACACGUACUACAAUGGCGUUUAACAAAGAGAAGCAAGACCGCGAGGUGGAGCAAAACUCAAAAACAACGUCUCAGUUCAGAUUGCAGGCUGCAACUCGCCUGCAUGAAGUCGGAAUUGCUAGUAAUCGCGGAUCAGCAUGCCGCGGUGAAUACGUUCCC
rnacentral:rRNA from 1 species